rnacentral:rRNA from 1 species
UAAGCGGAGGAAAAGAAACUAACAAGGAUUCCCUUAGUAACGGCGAGUGAACCGGGAAAAGCUCAAAUUUGUAAUCUGGCUGUCUUCGAUAGUCCGAGUUGUAAUCUAUAGACGUGUUUUCCGUGCUGGACCGUAUCUAAGUCCCUUGGAACAGGGUAUCAAAGAGGGUGACAAUCCCGUGCUUGAUACGACCACCAGUGCUCUGUGAUACACGCUCUACGAGUCGAGUUGUUUGGGAAUGCAGCUCAAAAUGGGUGGUAAAUUCCAUCUAAAGCUAAAUAUUGGCGAGAGACCGAUAGCGAACAAGUACCGUGAGGGAAAGAUGAAAAGCACUUUGGAAAGAGAGUUAAACAGUACGUGAAAUUGUUGAAAGGGAAACGAUUGAAGUCAGUCGUGUUCUUUGGAUUCAGCUAGUUCUUCUAGUCUACUUCCAUUGAACGGGUCAACAUCAGUUUUGUCCGGUGGAUAAAGGUAGUAGGAAUGUGACUCCUCUCGGGGAGUGUUAUAGCCUAUUAUUGCAUACACUGGGUGAGACUGAGGACUGCAGCUCGCCUUUUGGCCGGUCUUCGGACACGUUCGAGCUUAGGAUGUUGACAUAAUGGCUUUAAACGACCCGUCUUGAAACACG